rnacentral:rRNA from 1 species
UACGUAGGGUGCAAGCGUUGUCCGGAAUUAUUGGGCGUAAAGAGCUCGUAGGCGGUUUGUCGCGUCUGCUGUGAAAACUCGGGGCUUAACCCCGGGCCUGCAGUGGGUACGGGCAGACUAGAGUGCGGUAGGGGAGACUGGAAUUCCUGGUGUAGCGGUGAAAUGCGCAGAUAUCAGGAGGAACACCGGUGGCGAAGGCGGGUCUCUGGGCCGUAACUGACGCUGAGGAGCAAAAGCGUGGGGAGCGAACAGG